GAUGAACGCUGGCGGCGUGCCUAAUACAUGCAAGUCGAGCGAACAGACGAGGAGCUUGCUCCUCUGACGUUAGCGGCGGACGGGUGAGUAACACGUGGAUAACCUACCUAUAAGACUGGGAUAACUUCGGGAAACCGGAGCUAAUGCCGGAUAAUAUAUUGAACCGCAUGGUUCAAUAGUGAAAGACGGUUUUGCUGUCACUUAUAGAUGGAUCCGCGCCGCAUUAGCUAGUUGGUAAGGUAACGGCUUACCAAGGCAACGAUGCGUAGCCGACCUGUGAGGGUGAUCGGCCACACUGGAACUGAGACACGGUCCAGACUCCUACGGGAGGCAGCAGUAGGGAAUCUUCCGCAAUGGGCGAAAGCCUGACGGAGCAACGCCGCGUGAGUGAUGAAGGUCUUCGGAUCGUAAAACUCUGUUAUUAGGGAAGAACAAAUAUGUAAGUAACUAUGCACGUCUUGACGGUACCUAAUCAGAAAGCCACGGCUAACUACGUG
rnacentral:rRNA from 1 species